rnacentral:rRNA from 1 species
CCCAGGGUGUUUCACCCUGCAACUCACAACUGGCAACCCACUGAAGCUAAGCAGGUGUGAGCCCGGUCAGUACCUGGAUGGGAGACCUCCUGGGAAAAACUAAGGUUCCUGCUGGAA